rnacentral:rRNA from 1 species
GCCUCGGCGGGCCCCGCGCCCGCCGACGGCCCCCCCUGAACGCUGUCUGAAGUUGCAGUCUGAGACCUAUAACGAAAUUAGUUAAAACUUUCAACAACGGAUCUCUUGGUUCCGGCAUCGAUGAAGAACGCAGCGAAAUGCGAUAACUAAUGUGAAUUGCAGAAUUCAGUGAAUCAUCGAGUCUUUGAACGCACAUUGCGCCCUCUGGUAUUCCGGAGGGCAUGCCUGUCCGAGCGUCAUUGCUGCCCUCAAGCCCGGCUUGUCGUGUUGGGCCCCGUCCCCCCCGCCGGGGGGACGGGCCCGAAAGGCAGCGGCGGCACCGCGUCCGGUCCUCGAGCGUAUGGGGCUUCGUCACCCGCUCUAGUAGGCCCGGCCGGCGCCAGCCGACCCCCAACCUUUAAUUAUCUCAGGUGACCUCGGAUCAGGUAG